UGCCCCUGCCCCUCUCUCCAUCACUCAUCCUUACGGCCAGUCAAAAGUGUCCCCCGCAUUCUGCCAUCCAUGGUGGGAUCCGGCUGCUGUGGCUGCAGGGAAGGGACCAAUCAGAGAUCCCUCUGAGUUGCGACCUUGACUCACAAAUAUUCCGGAUAUCGCCUCUUAUUUGAGAAAUCCGCUAGGACAGAGGGCAGAGGAUCAAAAAAGAGGAAAUAUCCAGGAAAACCCGGACGUACGGUCACCCUAUCGCUUGGGCCCCUUGACUGUGAUGAUGAACAAAAGUCAGAAACAGCAAAAAAAAGUCAAGUUUUUUGUAAAGAGGAGAGUGGAUGUUUGGGACAUGUUUAUUCAGAUAACAAGGGUAAAAGGGGCCAAUUUUUACCUCCCUCCUUCAUGCAGUUACAAAAGUAUGAAUUUGUGACAUUAUUGACAUAAACUGUGACCGUAUAGAUCAUUGUUGCAACCACUGUUAUAUAUUUGUGGCAAAUAUUGUACAAAGGUUGUCGAGUGAGGUGUCUAUGAAGGGGUUAUGAUUUCCUGGUUAUGAUUAUGCUGUCUGUAUGUGUGUACCAUUUUUAUAGUUGAAGUUAUGAACACUGGCUACGUAAUUGUAUCUCAUGUGUUUGUGA